rnacentral:rRNA from 1 species
UACAGAGGUCCCAAGCGUUGUUCGGAUUCAUUGGGCGUAAAGGGUGCGUAGGUGGCAUGGUAAGUCGGGUGUGAAAUCCCGGGGCUCAACCCCGGAACUGCACUCGAUACUGCCGUGCUCGAGUACUGGAGAGGAGACUGGAAUUUACGGUGUAGCAGUGAAAUGCGUAGAUAUCGUAAGGAAGACCGGUGGCGAAGGCUAGUCUCUGGACAGUUACGGACACUGAGGCACGAAGGCCAGGGGAGCAAACGGG